rnacentral:rRNA from 1 species
AUUCUGAGGCAACGUGUUAAGGAGCUGUCUGUGGUACAUGCACGGGCCCGGAAGGCCAUGAGGAGUAUGGUCAAGGCUUUAUGGCCAUCUGACACCCCUCCGGAAAGUAUGGAGGGUUUGGCAAGCCUGUUCAAAGGUGCCGGCGCCGCUUUGAGCUAUGGAAGACAUCCACCUACCGUGAAGGACCACCUCAAGUGCUCGGCCGCCGCAGGCGCGCUCCCCAUGCUCUGCACGCCCACCAUUAGCAAUGUCUCCGUCACCAAGACUCUCAUCGACAGUGGCGCCAGGCUCAAUGUUCUUUCCGUCGAGACGUUCGAGAUGCUCCAUGUGCCCUACGAUCAGCUCAUCCCCACCAAGCCAUUCUCUCGGGCGACCAAUGGCUCCAGCGUCCCCCUGGGGCAGGUGCGCUUCCCUAUCACCUUCGGCAAGCGCGACAACUACCACACCGAGCUCAUCAACUUCGACGUCACUCACAUCAGCCUCCCGUACAACGCCAUCGUGGGUUACCCUGCCCUUGCCAAGUUCAUGGCGGCUUACCAUCGUGGCUACAAUGUCCUCAAGAUGCCAGGGUGCAGU